UUCAAGUGUAAUUGUUGGUUUCCGUGUCCAAUAUUUGAUCGUUGUCUUAUUUAAAUUUUUUUUGUUAUGAUUAAUAUUUUUAUUAUUAUUAGAUGAUAAAAUAUAAAUAGUACUUUAUGAGUGACUUAUUUUUUUAUUUUUUUAUAAAUUUUUUAAAUAAGACGAACGAUCUAACGUUGGACACAGAAAUUCACGAUUGCAUUUAAA
rfam:Oryza glaberrima chromosome 6 Oglab06_0029_9, whole genome shotgun sequence.